rnacentral:piRNA from 1 species
UCAUAACCUGGCCGUCAUUCAGACCU